UAGAGGUUUGCACCACGUCUGGCUCCUAGCACUUUCGUUGAGACAAGUAUCCUUAUGUGUGUUUUACAUAAAAUAAUUCAAUACUUUCAGUAACCUUGUAAGGAGCUCAUGGUGCUGGAGGGGGAGCCAGAGCACACAUGUGGCAGUCAGAGGACAACUGAGAAUGGCUUUCUUCUUCCACACUUAUGGGGAUGCCAGGGACCAAACUCAAGCACCAGGCUUUACUAGAGACAGAACUCCAAACUUUGUGCAAGCGAGCAACCUACUACUGCACAGCAUCUCUAGCUGUUUUCAG